rnacentral:rRNA from 1 species
GUGCCAGCAGCCGCGGUAACACGUAGGGGGCAAGCGUUGUCCGGAUUCAUUGGGCGUAAAGAGCUCGUAGGCGGUUCGAUAAGUCGGGUGUGAAACCUCCAGGCUCAACCUGGAGACGCCACCCGAUACUGUCGUGACUAGAGUCCAGUAGGGGAGCGUGGAAUUCCUGGUGUAGCGGUGAAAUGCGCAGAUAUCAGGAGGAACACCAGCGGCGAAGGCGGCGCUCUGGGCUGGAACUGACGCUGAGGAGCGAAAGCGUGGGGAGCGAACAGGAUUAGAUACCCCCGUAGUCC